UGGUUGUAUGGUACGUUUUGUGUCGUAGAAAUGUAGUGGUGUUAUGAUGUUGAUGUUGUUAUUUGAUGCCUUAAUACAGUCUAAGUCCUGUCUGUGCCAGGGGGAGGGGUUCUACUGAGCGAUGUGGAAUUGUUUUAAGAAGGUCAAACCAAGGAUCUUCUUGUUAUUUUAUGCCUUAAUACAGUCUAAGUCCUGUCUGUGCCAGGGGGAGGGGUUCUACUGAACGAUGUGGAAUUGUUUUAAGAAGGUCAAACCAAGGAUCUUCUUGUUAUUUCAUGCCUUAAUACAGUCUAAGUCCUGUCUGUCUGUGCCGGGGGGAGGGGUUCUACUGAACGAUGUGGAAUUGUUUUAAGAAGGUCAAACCAAGGAUCUUCUUGUUAUUUCAUGCCUUAAUACAGUCUAAGUCCUGUCUGUGCCGGGGGGAGGGGUUCUACUGAACGAUAUGGAAUUGUUUUAAGAAGGUCAAACCAAGGAUCUUCUUGUUAUUUGAUUUAGACUCCUCGAGGUAUCAAAAAUAUAAAACAAAUAUUUGAUGAA